AUGAGUGCCACUGCCCUGAGAAGGGAGGUUUGGUGACGUCUGCGAUGAAUUGAAUUUCCGUCUUGUGACUUUUCUGUUGCAGAACAUGGAGGAGCAGCUGAGCAAUGGAGUUGGGACUCGGGGGAGCAAUAGGUGCCUGUGUCCCAAGCUUCCUGUGUGGCCCUUGCAAGCUCCUGCUCCCCUCGCCUGCAAGUGGAGCGAUGCUCAAGUUUGAGGAAUCUUUCCUCGGCAGGCGGUAAAAGACGCCGCAGCUGCGAGUUUUGUGUCCUUCUUUGUUAUUGGAAAGCAGCCUCCUUGAGAGCAGGAGAGCAGCAGGCUGUCUGCUGUGUGGCUGCUGAAGGGCGUUUCUCCCCAGCUGAGAUCCCUGAGCCCACGCUGGCGGAGAACGAGCUGCGCCGCGGUGUCUUCAGUGGAGCCACUUUGCAGCUUCUCUGUGCGCUCGCUGCGAUCGUGCCCGUUUCCAGGUGCCAUAAGCCAGUAAGUCGUGCUCUGUGAGGCUGAUAGAAAGGCGCAGACGGUAGGC